rnacentral:lncRNA from 1 species
CUCCACCACGCGCAUCGCCUGGGUUCCAGCCUGAGCGUUGAAGAUACUGCUAGGAGCCGCCAGGAGCUGGUGUCCGAGGCUGGGAAAGACCCCGCCCAGCCAAGGGUCAGGCCCAUGGUGGCCACGCCGUUUUCAGGGACUUGCUGGAACUCUCUUCAUGAUUUUCUGCGGGGGCUCUAGCGAUUCUCCACGGCGCCUUCCGUAAGUUUUCACCUCAGGACUUUCAGUUUUGUUCCUGAGAAACGAGUAUUUUUCCCCCUCCUACAGGGAAGGUUGAUGGAGGAAGGAAGGUGUGGAAAAGAGGGAGAGGGGGGAGAGAGAGUAGGAGACAGGAGAAGAGAGAGGAAGGAGGAAAGGAGGGAGAGUGAGAAAGAACUUUUCCUGCUGGCCCUGAGAACAUUUUGUGGCAUUUCCUCUUCCCCGAGCCAAAAGUAUCCGUGGCAACUCAGUGAGAAGAGGCCAUCGCCGCCUCUCUUUUCUGAAUCGUACUGAAGUGUGACGUGUGCUGCAGUGUGCUUGCGGAAUUCAUAGGUGUACAGCUGAGGGACUGUCACAGACCCAGCACACGUGGCACGAGUGUUACGAUGAAAGUAAAAACAGAACCGUACUGAAACCCAGGACUCCCUCUUGGGCUGUGUUCCACCACCGCUCUGGAUAUGUGUGUCUUGCUUUUGUGGGGCAGUGUUAUCUUUGUGAGGGUCGUCUGCAUUCUUCCGGUGGGUCAUGGAAGGCUAUUCCUGCGGCUCUAGUGUUCCUGCGUCCAUGGCCAUUGGAGCAGUUCUGUCCGCGUUCUAUGCAGACCCUCUGUGAAUGUCUGCAGCAGAUCGCUGAUGGCAGCACCGUGUGUCCGCGCAGGCAUUCGCGUUCCUGUAGGAACUGGAGGGGCUGUGUCACUGAGUGCGCGUGUUCAGCCUUGAGCCUGCUGUCUCAGGUGUGGAUGCACCUUCCCGCCAGCAGUGUGUGAGUCCUGAUUGCUUCCUGUCCACAACACCUGGCAUUUGGCACGUCUUUGCCUUUCAGCCCUUCCAGGGAGUUAUCAUGAUAGGGCCCUGUAGGUAUGGGGUGUGUGUGUAUGUGUGUGUGGGUGGGUGUGUGUUUCUUUUUCAAAUCUUGUAGUGUCGGCCGGCGCGGCGGCUCACUAGGGUAAUCCUCCGCCUGCAGUGCCGGCCCCCCAGGUUCUAGUCCCGGUUGGGGCACUGGAUUCUGUUCCGGUUGCCCCUCUUCCAGUCCAGCUCUCUGCUAUGGCCCUGGAAGGCAGUGGAGGAUGGCCUGUGUUUGGGCCCUUCACCCGCAUGGGAGACCAGGAGGAAUCUCCUCGCUCCUGGCUUCAGAUCGGUGCAGUGCGCUGGCUGUAGCAGCCAUUUGGGGGGUGAAGGAAGACCUUUCUCUUUGUCACCCUCUCUCACUGUCUAACUCCGCCUGUCAAAAAAAAAAAAAAGUUUCUAGGAAAACUGGAAUUAAAAUGUAAGUUUACUUUGAUGCAAAAGUUUUGAAAUCUAUGCAUCAUUUCUUCCUUCUAAAUGCUUUACCUGACCUUUUAGAAGCCUCCUUGUACACAUGGCUUUCAAAAAGUCUUGCACCAACAUAAAUUGAGCUUUUACCCCAGUUUUCUGCCAAUUUUUGCAGCCCCCUCAGACUUUCUCUC